rnacentral:rRNA from 12 species
AAAGGUGGCCAUACUAUCCUGAGUGUCUGAUCCCAUCAGAUCUCAGAAGCUAAACAGGUCCAGGCCUGGUUAAUAAUUGGAUGGCACCACCUUGGAUGACCUGGGGCCCCUAGA